CGGGUGAGUAACGCGUGAGGAACCUGCCUCAAAGAGGGGACAACAGUUGGAAACGACUGCUAAUACCGCAUAAGCCCACGGCUCGGCAUCGAGCAGAGGGAAAAGGAGUGAUCCGCUUUGAGAUGGCCUCGCGUCCGAUUAGCUGUUGGUGAGGUAACGGCCCACCAAGGCACGAUCGGUAGCCGGACUGAGAGGUUGAACGGCCACAUUGGGACUGAGACACGGCCCAG
rnacentral:rRNA from 1 species